UCCUCAUUUUAUUAUUUGAGGUAGGGCCUGCUCAAUGCGAAAGUAAAUAGCCGCAGUAUUCUGACUGUGCGAAGGUAGCAUAAUAAAUUGGCUUUUAAUUGGAGUCUGGAAUGAAUGGUUUGACAAAGAUUUAACUGUCUUAAAGUAAUUAAUUUUGAAAUUAAAUUAUUUGUAAAAAUGCAGAUAUAAAAGAGAGGGACGAGAAGACCCUAUAGAUCUUUAAUAGAUUACUAAUAUAAUUCUUUUAUUAGUAAUUUUUUUUAUUUGGGGAAAAUCCUGAAAUAGUUUUUAAACUUCGGUUAAUUAAAAAAUCAUAAGAAUUAAUUUUUGAUCCAUUAAUCUUUGAAUAGGUUAGUGAAAAGAUGAAAAAGUUACCUUAGGGAUAACAGGACAAUGAUCUUCUUGGAGGUCUUAUUCAAGAAGACGUUUGUUACCUCGAUGUUGAAUUAAGUUAUCUUAUUAAAGAAGAAAUUUUUAUAGUG
rnacentral:rRNA from 1 species